GGGCAACCCUUAGUAGAGCGGCGCACGGGUGCGUAACACGUGGAUAAUCUGCCUGGAUGCCUGGGAUAACCAGUCGAAAGAUUGGCUAAUACCGGAUAAGCCCACGGUUUCUUCGGAGACUGAGGGAAAAGGUGGCCUCUGUAUACAAGCUAUCACAACCAGAUGAGUCCGCGGCCCAUCAGCUAGUUGGCGGGGUAAUGGCCCACCAAGGCGACGACGGGUAGCUGGUCUGAGAGGACGAUCAGCCACACUGGAACUGAGACACGGUCCAGACUCCUACGGGAGGCAGCAGUGGGGAAUUUUGCGCAAUGGGCGAAAGCCUGACGCAGCAACGCCGCGUGUGUGAUGAAGGUCUUUGGAUUGUAAAGCACUUUCGACCGGGACGAAACCGUAAAGCCUAAUACGCUUUGCCUUGACGGUACCGGGAGAAGAAGCACCGGCUAACUCUGUGCCAGCAGCCGCGGUAAUACAGAGGGUGCAAGCGUUGUUCGGAAUUAUUGGGCGUAAAGCGCGUGUAGGCGGCUUUGCAAGUCGGGUGUGAAAGCCCUCAGCUCAACUGAGGAAGUGCGCCCGAAACUGCAGAGCUUGAGUGCCGGAGAGGGUGGCGGAAUUCCCCAAGUAGAGGUGAAAUUCGUAGAUAUGGGGAGGAACACCGGUGGCGAAGGCGGCCACCUGGACGGUAACUGACGCUGAGACGCGAAAGCGUGGGUAGCAAACAGGAUUAGAUACCCUGGUAGUCCACGCCGUAAACGAUGAGAACUAGGUGUCGUGGGAGUUGACCCCCGCGGUGCCGUAGCUA
rnacentral:rRNA from 1 species